UCUACUAACUGUGCAUUUUUAUGCCACAAGCCACUAAGAAGGAAGCCAUCAAAACAGUUUUAUCUUCACCAGUAUAGGAAGCUUUUGAUUAGUUUAGGUUUUCAUUUUUCUAUUAUGCUCUUAGGCACCAAGCAGCAUGCAUCACAUAAAUUGAAAAAUAUAAAAGUGACAUUCGUGACACUUGGAGUAGGAGAGACUAAGAAAAGAGUAUGUAAAGGAAUCUGCAUUCAGUUUUUAAAGUAUCUUAUUAAUAAUAAAGUAAACUUUAGCCAAGAUUUAAAGGUUUUACCCACUUCCC